CCUGUUUUCCAGGUUUUCCAGGUUGGUAGACACCCUGAAUUUGCACAAUAGACAUUAGGCGCCUCCUGUGGCUACACUUCCAUUUAUGGCUGCUUGUACAGAUCACCAGAAAUAGGGGACUGGCAUUCCUGGCAAGGAGUUAAAGUGUGACAGGGAAGUGUUAAUAUUUUCAUACAGAUUAUACUUCACACAUCACUCUCUCCAUGUAAAUAAACAGAAUAACACUAACAAAUGCCUGAAAAACUUUCACCAAAUGCAUGCACCCAUACUAACUCAAUUCUUUCAUGCGCAGAUAUUUUGCUUUUGUCUUGCAGAAAUCAGGAAAACGAACAACAAUGCUCAGAAAAAUUAUCUUGGCCAGGUAAUUCUCAUGAGGCACAUUUUCUAGUUCAAGAAGGAAUGUCUUUGGUGCAGACAGCCGAGGACCUGAAGUCUGCGGACUAUAACUUGGCUCCAUCAGUGUCUAAGCAGAUCAGCCCACCGCCUCAAGCCUUCAACAUAAUUGGGUUUUGGAACGGAAUGAGGGUGCUUGCUCCGAAUUUAGCGUCUAUUGCGAUCAAGUAUUUGUCAAUUCCUAUAAACUCUGUAGAUGCUGAAAGAUCGCUCAGCAGGU